AAUGGAUCUUCUUCUUUCUCCAAGAUGUAAAUAGAAUCUGAAGGAUUGGAGGCUACCCAUUUAGCUUGAGGUAGAUCUCGAGAGAACGCCAGAUGGAAGGGACAUUUGAUGAAAAGAUGUGAUAUGGUCUCGGAGUUCACUCCACACAAAGGACAUCUGGUACAAACCAUCCAACCUUUUCUUGCAACCACUUCCCUCAUUUGGAGUUUAUUCUUUAGACGAAGCCAAAAAGGACACCUUUGCUUUCUCAAGGUACUGCAGCCUUCAGAUUACACCAUAGAAUGGCCACCUGAUCCCACGGCU
rnacentral:lncRNA from 1 species